rnacentral:rRNA from 1 species
GGGCCCGCACAAGCGGUGGAGUAUGUGGUUUAAUUCGAUGCAACGCGAAGAACCUUACCAGGGCUUGACAUCCUGCGAACCUCUGUGAAAGCGGAGGGUGCCUUCGGGAACGCAGAGACAGGUGGUGCAUGGCUGUCGUCAGCUCGUGUCGUGAGAUGUUGGGUUAAGUCCCGCAACGAGCGCAACCCACGUCUUUAGUUGCCAGCAUUUAGUUGGGCACUCUAGAGAGACCGCCGGUGAUAAACCGGAGAAGGUGUGGAUGACGUCAAGUCAUCAUGCCCCUUACGUCUGGGCUACACACGUACUACAAUGCUACGGACAAAGGAGCAGCAAGUUCGCGAGGACAAGCAAAUCUCAUAAACCGUGGCUC